UAAGUUAUUAAGGGCGCACGGUGGAUGCCUUGGCACUAGAAGCCGAUGAAGGACGUUACUAACGACGAUAUGCUUUGGGGAGCUGUAAGUAAGCUUUGAUCCAGAGAUUUCCGAAUGGGGAAACCCAGCAUGAGUUAUGUCAUGUUAUCGAUAUGUGAAUACAUAGCAUAUCAGAAGGCACACCCGGAGAACUGAAACAUCUUAGUACCCGGAGGAAGAGAAAGAAAAUUCGAUUCCCUUAGUAGCGGCGAGCGAAACGGGAAGAGCCCAAACCAACAAGCUUGCUUGUUGGGGUUGUAGGACACUCUAUACGGAGUUACAAAGGACGACAUUAGACGAAUCAUCUGGAAAGAUGAAUCAAAGAAGGUAAUAAUCCUGUAGUCGAAAAUGUUGUCUCUCUUGAGUGGAUCCUGAGUACGACGGAGCACGUGAAAUUCCGUCGGAAUCUGGGAGGACCAUCUCCUAAGGCUAAAUACUCUCUAGUGACCGAUAGUGAACCAGUACCGUGAGGGAAAGGUGAAAAGCACCCCGGAAGGGGAGUGAAAUAGAACCUGAAACCGUGUGCUUACAAGUAGUCAGAGCCCGUUAAUGGGUGAUGGCGUGCCUUUUGUAGAAUGAACCGGCGAGUUACGAUUUGAUGCAAGGUUAAGCAGUAAAUGUGGAGCCGUAGCGAAAGCGAGUCUGAAUAGGGCGUUUAGUAUUUGGUCGUAGACCCGAAACCAGGCGAUCUACCCUUGGUCAGGUUGAAGUUCAGGUAACACUGAAUGGAGGACCGAACCGACUUACGUUGAAAAGUGAGCGGAUGAACUGAGGGUAGCGGAGAAAUUCCAAUCGAACCUGGAGAUAGCUGGUUCUCUCCGAAAUAGCUUUAGGGCUAGCCUCAAGUGAUGAUUAUUGGAGGUAGAGCACUGUUUGGACGAGGGGCCCCUCUCGGGUUACCGAAUUCAGACAAACUCCGAAUGCCAAUUAAUUUAACUUGGGAGUCAGAACAUGGGUGAUAAGGUCCGUGUUCGAAAGGGAAACAGCCCAGACCACCAGCUAAGGUCCCAAAAUAUAUGUUAAGUGGAAAAGGAUGUGGCGUUGCCCAGACAACUAGGAUGUUGGCUUAGAAGCAGCCAUCAUUUAAAGAGUGCGUAAUAGCUCACUAGUCGAGUGACACUGCGCCGAAAAUGUACCGGGGCUAAACAUAUUACCGAAGCUGUGGAUUGUCCUUUGGACAAUGGUAGGAGAGCGUUCUAAGGGCGUUGAAGCAUGAUCGUAAGGACAUGUGGAGCGCUUAGAAGUGAGAAUGCCGGUGUGAGUAGCGAAAGACGGGUGAGAAUCCCGUCCACCGAUUGACUAAGGUUUCCAGAGGAAGGCUCGUCCGCUCUGGGGUUAGUCGGGUCCUAAGCUGAGGCCGACAGGCGUAGGCGAUGGAUAACAGGUUGAUAUUCCUGUACCACCUAUAAUCGUUUUAAUCGAUGGGGGGGACGCAGUAGGAUAGGCGAAGCGUGCGAUUGGAUUGCACGUCUAAGCAGUAAGGCUGAGUAUUAGGCAAAUCCGGUACUCAUUAAGGCUGAGCUGUGAUGGGGAGAAGACAUUGUGUCUUCGAGUCGUUGAUUUCACACUGCCGAGAAAAGCCUCUAGAUAGAAAAUAGGUGCCCGUACCGCAAACCGACACAGGUAGUCAAGAUGAGAAUUCUAAGGUGAGCGAGCGAACUCUCGUUAAGGAACUCGGCAAAAUGACCCCGUAACUUCGGGAGAAGGGGUGCUCUUUAGGGUUAACGCCCAGAAGAGCCGCAGUGAAUAGGCCCAAGCGACUGUUUAUCAAAAACACAGGUCUCUGCUAAACCGUAAGGUGAUGUAUAGGGGCUGACGCCUGCCCGGUGCUGGAAGGUUAAGAGGAGUGGUUAGCUUCUGCGAAGCUACGAAUCGAAGCCCCAGUAAACGGCGGCCGUAACUAUAACGGUCCUAAGGUAGCGAAAUUCCUUGUCGGGUAAGUUCCGACCCGCACGAAAGGCGUAACGAUUUGGGCACUGUCUCAACGAGAGACUCGGUGAAAUCAUAGUACCUGUGAAGAUGCAGGUUACCCGCGACAGGACGGAAAGACCCCGUGGAGCUUUACUGUAGCCUGAUAUUGAAAUUCGGCACAGCUUGUACAGGAUAGGUAGGAGCCUUUGAAACGUGAGCGCUAGCUUACGUGGAGGCGCUGGUGGGAUACUACCCUAGCUGUGUUGGCUUUCUAACCCGCACCACUUAUCGUGGUGGGAGACAGUGUCAGGCGGGCAGUUUGACUGGGGCGGUCGCCUCCUAAAAGGUAACGGAGGCGCUCAAAGGUUCCCUCAGAAUGGUUGGAAAUCAUUCAUAGAGUGUAAAGGCAUAAGGGAGCUUGACUGCGAGACCUACAAGUCGAGCAGGGUCGAAAGACGGACUUAGUGAUCCGGUGGUUCCGCAUGGAAGGGCCAUCGCUCAACGGAUAAAAGCUACCCCGGGGAUAACAGGCUUAUCUCCCCCAAGAGUUCACAUCGACGGGGAGGUUUGGCACCUCGAUGUCGGCUCAUCGCAUCCUGGGGCUGUAGUCGGUCCCAAGGGUUGGGCUGUUCGCCCAUUAAAGCGGUACGCGAGCUGGGUUCAGAACGUCGUGAGACAGUUCGGUCCCUAUCCGUCGUGGGCGUAGGAAAUUUGAGAGGAGCUGUCCUUAGUACGAGAGGACCGGGAUGGACAUACCUCUGGUGUACCAGUUGUCGUGCCAACGGCAUAGCUGGGUAGCUAUGUGUGGACGGGAUAAGUGCUGAAAGCAUCUAAGCAUGAAGCCCCCCUCAAGAUGAGAUUUCCCAACUUCGGUUAUAAGAUCCCUCAAAGAUGAUGAGGUUAAUAGGUUCGAGGUGGAAGCAUGGUGACAUGUGGAGCUGACGAAUACUAAUCGAUCGAAGACUUAAUCA
rnacentral:rRNA from 1 species